GAUGAACGCUGACAGAAUGCUUAACACAUGCAAGUCUUUGGCGAAUCUGUGCUUGCACAGGCUAGCCAAGGCGGACGGGUGAGUAACGCGUAAAGAACUUGCCCUGCAGACAGGGAUAACAGACGGAAACGACUGAUAACACCUGAUACAGUUGCCGGCACGCAUGUGCCUAGCAAUGAAAAGAGAUGCUGCAGGAGAGCUUUGCGUCCUAUUAGCUUGUUGGUGAGGUGACGGCUCACCAAGGCGAUGAUAGGUAGCCGGCCUGAGAGGGUGAACGGCCACAAGGGGACUGAGAUACGGCCCUUACUCCUACGGGAGGCAGCAGUGGGGAAUAUUGGACAAUGGGGGCAACCCUGAUCCAGCAAUUCUGUGUGCACGAAGAAGGUUUUCGGAUUGUAAAGUGCUUUCAGCAGGGAAGAAGAAAGUGACGGUACCUGCAGAAGAAGCGACGGCUAAAUACGUG
rnacentral:rRNA from 1 species